UUCAUAGGAAAAACCAUUUCUGGAUUUUGGACCUAUAAGGAAUGCAUAUGGCAUGACCUCACAGAGAUAAUCUAUGCAGAACUUAAAGAUGAACACCAAGAACUCACAGUGAUAGAUUUGGUUUUAACAAAUCAUUUUUUAGUCAUCCUUACCUCUUUGGGUCUUUAUGUAAGUAGUGAUCUUCGUUAUCCAACCACUUCACAGAUAAAGCUUUCCAGAGCAGAGUUUUGUGGAUUUGAAAGGGUA